rnacentral:rRNA from 1 species
ACGCUCGACACCUACGGGAGGCAGCAGUGAGGGAUAUUGGUCAAUGGGGGAAACCCUGAACCAGCAACGCCGCGUGAGGGAUGACGGUCUUCGGAUUGUAAACCUCUGUCCUCUGUGAAGAUAAUGACGGUAGCAGAGGAGGAAGCUCCGGCUAACUACGUGCCCGCAGCCGCGGUAAUCUGAGCGGGCUGGCAAGGC